rnacentral:rRNA from 1 species
CAUAGCGUAUAUUAAAGUUGUUGCAGUUAAAAAGUCUCGUAGUUGGAUUUCUGGGAGAGUGCCAAUGUCCGCCGAAGUGCGUGCGCAGCGGCGCUCUUUCAUCCUUCUGUUAACGGCUCUUGGCAUUUAUUUGCUGGUGUCGGGCUCAGAUAUUUUACCUUGAGAAAAUUAGAGUGUUUCAGGCAGGCUAGGCCGGAAUACAUUAGCAUGGAAUAAUGGAAUAGGACUACGGUCUCUUUGUUGGUUUGAGGGACUGCAGUAAUGAUUAAUAGGGAUAGUUGGGGGCAUUAGUACUUAACUGCUAGAGGUGAAAUUCUCAGAUUUGUUAAAGACUAACUUAUGCGAAAGCAUUUGCCAAGGAUGUUUUCAUUAAUCAAGAACGAAAGUUAGGGGAUCAAAGACGAUCAGAUACCGUCCUAGUCUUAACCAUAAACUAUGCCGACUCGGGAUCGGGGGCGAGCAUUAUCCGUCUUCGGCACCGUAUGAGAAAUCAAAGUCU